rnacentral:lncRNA from 1 species
GCUUGCAGGCACCCCUCGAGGCGCCCGGGCCCAAGCGCAGGGCUCCGAGUUCGAGUUCGGAUCUCCGCGGGGCCGCGGCGCGGGCAGCGGGGCCUGGGGACGCGCCGGCGGCCGGGGGGCGGGGGGGUUCCGGGACCGCCGGCCCCACGUCCCGCGCGCCCCCCGGGAGCCGGCGGCAGCGGCGCCCCAGCAGGCCGCAGGGCCGGGGUCGGGCCAGGCGCUCCGGGGCGCUCCGCACGCGGCCGGGCGGCCUGGGCGGCGGCGGCGGCCGGGCGCGCGGAGGUGGCGCCGCCAGGGGGAGGGGCGCGGCGGCGGCGGCGGCGGCGGAGGAGGAGCCGGGCCGCCGCAGCCGCUGUCAGCGGCCGAGUAAACAAGCCGCGCCGCCGCGGCCCGGCCGCUGCCCCCGCCCGCCGCCCGCCGCCCGCCGCCCGCCGCCCGCCCGCGCGGAGCCGGAGCCCGCGCCGAGGCCGACCGCGCCGACGCCGAGCCCGCCCUGGUCGCCGGCGGCCGGGCCGCGCCGCCCGCCCCCGCGCGGUGACGCUGCUGCAGGGCCGGGGCUGCCGGGCCAGGCCGCCGCCGGCUCUCCCGGGCCGAGGGCGCCGAGCCGCGCGGCGCUCGCCGGAAAACUUUCCCCGGCCGGCUCCCCAGGGUAAGCAGGGGGCGCGGGCCCGGCGCCGCGGGAGGCGCGGGCCGCCGGCUCUCGGGCCCGCGGGGCGCAGGCGGGGCGCCCGCAGCCCACCUGAGCGCGCCCCGGGCCGGGACUUUUCCUCUCGGGCCCGGGCGAGCCCUCUGACCCCGGGAAGCGCCCGCGGGCCCGCCGGGGCGGGAUGGGGAGAGCAUUCCAGAGGCGCGGGCGCUCCCGCCUCCCCGCCGGCCUUCGGCGCGCCGGCGGCUCGCCCGGCCCGCGCCGGGGAGGGAGGAGGCGCGCGGGGCGGGGGCGUCGUCCCGGCCGGGCCCCCGCACACCUGGGCGGCCGAGGCGCCGGGGCGGGUCCCGGGUCCGCGGGCGCCGCCGGGCUGCUCCCCGCUCUGGCCUGGCCGAGGCCCCCGCUGCCCUCGCGGGCUGGCCGGACGGAGGGGCGGCCUGCUCGCCGGACAGGUCUGA